GCCCGGUUGGCUCAGUCGGUAGAGCGUGUGACUCUUAAUGGUAUAAACCUGAGGGAUCUCAAGGUCGCGAGUUCGAGCCUCGCAUUGGGCU